UGGCCGGUUGCGAGGUGUUGCAUGGUUGUCGUCAGCUCGUGCCGUGAGGUGUCGGGUUAAGUCCCAUAACGAGCGCAACCCCUACUGCUAGUUGCCAGCGGGUCAUGCCGGGGACGUCUAGCGGAACUGCCAGCGUAAGCUGCGAGGAAGGUGGGGAUGACGUCAAAUCAGCACGGCCCUUACGUCCAGGGCUACACACGUGUUACAAUGGCCAGUACAGAGGGCAGCCACCCCGCGAGGGGGCGCUAAUCCUAAAAGCUGGUCCCAGUUCGGAUCGGAGUCUGCAACCCGACUCCGUGAAGCUGGAUUCGCUAGUAAUCGCGCAUCAGCCACGGCGCGGUGAAUACGUUCCCGGGCCUU
rnacentral:rRNA from 1 species